rnacentral:rRNA from 1 species
CCCUUAGAUGUUCUGGGCUGCACGCGCGCUACACUGAUGCAUCCAACAAGUUUUUUCCUUGUUCGAGAGGACUAGGUAAUCUUAUGAGAAUGCAUCGUGAUGGGGAUAGAUUAUUGCAAUCAUUAAUCUUCAACGAGGAAUUCCUAGUAAGCGCGAGUCAUCAGCUCGUGCUGAUUACGUCCCUGCCCUUUGUACACACCGCCCGUCGCUGCAACUGAUUGGGUGACCUGGUGAACAUCUUGGACCGGCCCACUCAAUUUCGAGAGGACUGGAAAAGGCCGUAAAUCAGGUACAUCUAGAAAUUGCAAAAGUCGUAACA